GUACUACUUCCUCCGUCCGAAAAAACUUGUCCCUCAAAUGAAUGUAUGUAGCACUAAGUUACUAUCAGAUACAUCCAUUUAAAAGAAAACAUGGGGCAAGCUUUUUCGGACGGAGGAAGUAUUGU
rfam:Triticum aestivum genome assembly, contig: Triticum_aestivum_CS42_TGACv1_scaffold_049355_1BS